rnacentral:sRNA from 1 species
GGUGCUAUCCUAUCUGAGCUUAUCGUCUUUUUUUUUCUCCCUCCCUCAUACUCUUUUUCUUGACCUUGCAAGACUUUUUCCUUUUUUGAUUCUCCUCCUGGCCGUCCUCUACUCCGUUCUUUGUUUUGAUUUUCUUCCUCACUUCUACCAACCUUCCCAUCUUCAAUCUCUCUGUCUAUCCCUCCUGAGCUA